rnacentral:rRNA from 1 species
UACAGAGGGGGCAAGCGUUGUUCGGAAUUACUGGGCGUAAAGGGCGCGUAGGCGGCCUUCUAAGUCGAACGUGAAAUCCCUGGGCUCAACCCAGGAACUGCGUCCGAUACUGGAAGGCUUGAAUCCGGGAGAGGGAUGCGGAAUUCCAGGUGUAGCGGUGAAAUGCGUAGAUAUCUGGAGGAACACCGGUGGCGAAGGCGGCAUCCUGGACCGGUAUUGACGCUGAGGCGUGAAAGCCAGGGGAGCAAACGGG